rnacentral:rRNA from 1 species
UACGUAGGCAGCAAGCGUUGUUCGGAGUUACUGGGCGUAAAGGGUGUGUAGGCGGUUCUUUAAGUUUGGUGUGAAAUCUCCCGGCUCAACUGGGAGGGUGCGCCGAAUACUGAGGGACUUCGAGUGCGGGAGAGGAAAGUGGAAUUCCUGGUGUAGCGGUGAAAUGCGUAGAUAUCAGGAGGAACACCGACGGCGCAGGCAGCGUCCUGGCCGCUUGCUGACACUGAGGCACGAAAGCUGGGGGAGCAAACAGG